rnacentral:lncRNA from 1 species
UUUUACUGCUACUUAUCUUCUUAAUUUCACUUUUGGCAGACGUCUUCCUUAUUUUGACAUUCUUGUCCUAUAUCAUGUAUACUUUUGACCGCAAUGCUUUCAGGAAAGAAACUUCGAAACUCAUCACAAUAUAAUAUUGAGACUAGACCACCAGAGAGAAACCAAAAGAAGGGCUUGAAAUAUGGCAACUAAAGCAAUCUAAAAGCAUUCAUAUAUUUUAUGUUUAUGGCGUUCCAUCAAUUCCAUUUUUUUCCAAAGGAAAAUUUAUAUAACAUUUUACUUAUAUGUUCAAAAUCCAAUCUUCAAUCUUGCUUGAUAUCAUCCACUCCAUAUAUUUUAUGUUUAUUGCAUUCCAUCAAUUCUUUUUUUUUUCCCCAAAGGAAAAUAUAUAUAACAUUUUACUUAUAUGUUCAUAAUCCAAACUUCCAUCUUGCUUGAUAUCAUCCACUCCUCAAGAGUUCAGUGAAUGAUUUAGGGUACAAUGUUCUAUUCUCUUGUAACCUGUUGGUACUCAAGUUGUAGCCUAUUAACCAUUUGGAAGAGUUGUGAAACUAAAAAGGUGGAACAGAAAUGACAAGCAAAGAGGAAACACUGUGAUUCAUAAUAAUGCAAGCCGAAGAAAUAGGAGCUUAAACUAAUAUCAUUUAACUAAUUAAUCACAAUCUAAGUCAACCACAGUUUCCAGAAACUUGUAACAAAAAAUUCACAGAGCAACACAGAUAAAAUCAUCAUUGAUCAUAUUAAGUUAGAGCAAAAAAUGG